CUAUAUAUACCCUGUAGAACCGAAUUUGUGUGAUGGAAUCAGAGUCACAGAUUCGUUUCUAGGGGAGUAUAUGGU
rfam:Poecilia formosa, whole genome shotgun sequence.